rnacentral:piRNA from 1 species
UGCCAAAGUCAGCAUUUGUCCUGGGUUC